UGUUCUGUAGAUUAAGUCGGUUAGGUUAAGGCAGAUAGCUUUUUGUUUACAUUUAUCGCCGCACCAUGUUAGGUACAUUCUGUGCGAAAAAAGUCUGCAGAGCCAUAUGUAGUGUAAGGGUCACAAAGCUGCUGCCAGAGACACAAAUGGACCCCAGAAAUGUCACAGUUUUGCUCCUCCUGAGCUCCCUGGAGGUUUAGUGGAUUUUUAACACACGGAUCUAACAUCAGUCUAUUUCUAACUAUUUUAAUUCUAUUUCAUUAAUGUUACUAUGGAGGUAAAUGUAGAUACACACACUUUGGUACCUUUCUAUAAUCAUCGAGAUUCUUAAUUAAUUAUGGUAGUAAAAAGUCCUACAUUUCAGUCGGUGAAACCUGCAGAAAGCAUUGCUUUCUGAGCUUUGUUAAAUGUUCCUAAAAUACCUGUUAGUUAUGGAUUUCUAGUAUAUUUUGUCAGGUUAAAACUCUCAAUGGAUUAUCCAUUAUUACAGACUUGAGCUUUCUAUUUUUUUUUUCUUUAAAAUACAUAUUCCUCUGCUGUAAAGAUGUUGGGGUUUUUUGGACUCUUCUUUGUUGUCCCCAAAUAAUUGUAGCUCAGAAACAAUAUUGAAGUUCAUUGGUAAAAUUGGUAAAAUUUUGAAAUGUUGAUGUUUUUUGUGUUGAUUGUGCUCAUUUUGACCUAUGUUACUAUUGCUUUCUACCAUGUUCAAUUCACCAUUGUUCUGCACAUACGUGCUUGCAUGUGUCCAGUGGUUAUAUUCAUGAGGCAUUCAAGGGACUUGUACUAAAAGAUACAACUCAGUUCACUAUGAAUUGCAUAUUUUAAUGGCUGAAAAUAUAUCUGAUCUCUUUCAGAACAUCACCUGUCUGUAAUCCACCUGCGUAAGUUCUGGUCAAGGGGUCAUCGGCUAUCAAGUUAUAGAUUUCAGUGGCUAAUAGAAGACACUGCUGAGGUCAGACGAGAGUGCAUCCUCAAAUGUCUGUGUGUACCUAAAUGAAGAUCCAGAGAAGCUGGUGAGGGAGUACAUGGACGUUGAUGAAUGAAAUGGCCAAAGCCGAGACUGUCCUCGGAAUCGUCAUUUGAGCAGAGGCUGCCGAUGCACAUCUGGAUGUUGGGAUUGUCCUGGAGGAGGUGGAAGUUAUGAACAGCUUGGGCAGUGUAUCUUCUGCAAUAGUGAUGCUGCUGGGACUAAUCUACGCACUAAACUUGAGCUACCCUCAAGUUUAGUGCGUUCAGCACUCAACUUGCUCAGUAACUCAAGCAUACCUUUGAAGUAAUACAGGAAAUAAUAAUGAAAUUGGAUGGAAAGAACUUAUCAAAGAAAGCACAAGUUCUCAAUAUGAAACUCGCUGCUAAGUUGAGUAAAGUUUCAUAUGGAAAAUGAGUGUUUAAAGUCUGCAGUAGAAAAGAUUUAUAUUGUUACAGUUCUCUAAGUUGAGCAACUAUACUGACAUGUUUUAUGUUGUAAAGAAUUGGCUGGGAAAUGAAACUGUAACCUUUUUGUAGUUGUUUUUUUAUUUCAAUGUCCAACUCAGCUGUGUUUUGUGCUGUGUAAAAAAACGAUGUAUAACAAUUCUGAAAAUACAAUUGUGUUGUACCUUU